GAAGGCCCUAGGGUUGUAAAGCACUUUCAAUUGGGAGGAAAACCUGCCGGUCAAUACCCGGUAGCUUGACAUUACCUUUAGAAGAAGCACCGGCUAACUCCGUGCCAGCAGCCGCGGUAAUACGGAGGGUGCGAGCGUUAAUCGGAAUUACUGGGCGUAAAGCGUGCGUAGGUGGUUCGUUAAGUCAGAUGUGAAAGCCCUGGGCUCAACCUGGGAACUGCAUUUGAAACUGGCGGACUAGAGUUUAGUAGAGGGGAGUGGAAUUUCAGGUGUAGCGGUGAAAUGCGUAGAUAUCUGAAGGAACACCAGUGGCGAAGGCGACUCCCUGGACUAAAGCUGACGCUGAGGUACGAAAGCGUGGGUAGCAAACAGGAUUAGAUACCCUGGUAGUCCACGCCGUAAACGAUGUCGACUAGCCGUUGGUCCUAUAUACAGGAUUAGUGGCGCAGCUAACGCAUUAAGUCGACCGCCUGGGGAGUACGGCCGCAAGGUUAAAACUCAAAGG
rnacentral:rRNA from 1 species